UACGUAGGAUGCAAGCGUUGUCCGGAAUUAUUGGGCGUAAAGAGCUCGUAGGCGGUUCGGUAAGUCAGGUGUGAAAUCUCCACGCUCAACGUGGAGGGGCCACCUGAUACUGCCGUGACUCGAGUCCGGUAGGGGAGUGUGGAAUUCCCGGUGUAGCGGUGAAAUGCGCAGAUAUCGGGAGGAACACCAGUAGCGAAGGCGGCACUCUGGGCCGGAACUGACGCUGAGGAGCGAAAGCGUGGGUAGCAAACAGG
rnacentral:rRNA from 1 species